UACGUAGGGGGCAAGCGUUGUCCGGAAUCAUUGGGCGUAAAGAGCGUGUAGGCGGCUUGGUAAGUCCGCUGUGAAAGUCCAGGGCUCAACCCUGGAAUGCCGGUUGAAACUGUCAAGCUUGAGUCCGGAAGAGGCGAGUGGAAUUCCUGGUGUAGCGGUGAAAUGCGCAGAUAUCAGGAGGAACACCAAUGGCGAAGGCAGCUCGCUGGGACGGUACUGACGCUGAGACGCGAAAGCGUGGGGAGCAAACAGG
rnacentral:rRNA from 1 species